GCAGUGCCAGCGCAGCCCUUGGCUCGGUCUCCUGCUACCAUUUUGCCUCUUCUUCCUCCUUUUCCCUCCCAAACUCUCCCUGAAUAAUUCAUUCCUGCAGCUCCCUCAGGCAUGGAAUGCCUGCACCAGUAAUUGGAAGAACAAGAUAAAUGUUGAGAAGAACGUUAUCAAAUAGAAGGACAGGAAGCUCGACAGACACAGGAAAAAUUAGAUUUCUGAGAGAAGAACAGUAUGAAAUAUUUGAGUCCUGAUUCCCUAAAGGACUCUACAAGUUCUGCAGCAGUUCAGAAGAACUCUCUUUUGGUAGGGUAGGUCAUAAGCAUUUUCUCUUGAACGUCACCAGCCGCUGUGUUCUCUUCUUAAAUGUAAGCUAAUUUCUUCACCACAUAAACAUAGCAUGGAAGAAAGUCUGUUCACCUUUCUGCCAACCUGGAUGGACACACACACAUUCUGUCUCACAGAGUGAGUCCUAAAAGUCAAGGUCUAUGAUGGGUGGAGGAAGGGACAACCAAGCCCUACUCUCACAGCUGUCUACCCAUGAAAUGUGAGAUGAUGCAUUGAGUCAGAAAGAAUGAAAGUACACGAGACGCAUGGAUUUAGAAAAAAAAAAAAACACAGUCACUCUUAUCAGAGUAGGAGCAGUAUUUCCCCUCUGGAAAAUGAUGAAACACACCUUCACAGACCUUUCUUCAACAGCAGGUCACAAAUACCCGCUGAACCCCUGCAACGUCUGCUGCAGUUGCCAUUAGAGGAGCCACGGGAGCGGGCUGACUGGCUCUAGCUUUCUUGUGUUAGGCUUCUGUGGCUGUUUGGAAAUAAUAACAGCAUUCGAGAGCUUGAGGACAUGCAUAGCACUUUGAGCCCUAGGUCUUAAAGCUACUUUCAGUAUCGCCCUGAAGUCCUGAGGCUUAAAUGGCAUCUGCUAGAAAUUGCUACCAAUCUCCUAAGUGUUUAUUUAGACCUUCAAGAAUUGCUUAAUCUUUACCAUAUCCCAAAGAGCAGUCACUGUUAGUCUCAUGUGUGAAAAUUCAACAUUUAAUCUCUUAAGUGUCUAAGAAAAUGAGUAUUCACUGCAAUCUAAUGUCAUCGUAUCCAUUUGUCAUUUGAUUAGCGUUCAGUUGUCAGUUUGGAUAAGUUGUUGUCUUUCCGUGCUCAUGCGACGUAACUGACAGGACUGUGAGUCCAAGAGGUGAAGCUGCUACGUGACUGCUCGUUUAAAGCAAUUUGAAGUGUCUCUCUGUGCUUGUUGCUAACUCUGGAGAGCCACUUCAGCUUUGGCAAUUUUUUUUCAUAUUCAUCAAGCUUUUUUUUUUUUACAAUUUAUACUUUAUGAUUGCAUUUCGUGUGACAGAAAAAGGAAAAUAAUGCUUUGUAUUUGACAUAAAGUAUCUGUAAUUAUAUUUAUAACUUGGGAAGAGUGGCAGUGAUGACAAAAAAAAAAAAGCCACAUUAUAAAAGCAUUGUUUGGCUAUGUUUAUUCACAAAAACUGCCUAGACUAUUUUAACUCUGAUCUACUAGAAAUUUACUCUUUAAAUUCCUGAAGAAAACCUUCCAAAUCAGUACUCAGUGAUAGUUAAGGAAAUACCAUAUUUUUCCUCUUAACUUUUCCCAUCUUCUAGAUCUAGUUGACAGUUUUACAACAGUUACGAGUUUGAUUCUGCUGUGUUUUGCUUUUUUUGAGUGCCAUGAACAUCAACGGGGUAUUUAAUUUGCUAUUGAAUGGUAUGACUCUGCAGAAAGUAUACUCUUGGUUGUACUUGCCUGUUAGAUUAGUCAAUGCUACUGUGAAAAACAAAAAGCAAUAUCAACAAAAGUAGAUAAGAUUACAGAACUAUGUCCCGUGACAGUUCCGUAAGGCAAGAAGUAGUAAUGAUGAGGAAUAAAAAUAAAGUACUGCUAAAUAUGUUUGUAAUGAAAGUUAGAAUGAACUGUCAUCUUUUCAUAUUUGUUUGAAACUGUCAUCUUUUCAUAUUUGUUUGAAACUGCAGUUCCCUUAAAGCUGGAUGAUCAUUUGGGAUUUUUUUCUCCCUGACAGAUAACUUAUUUUCCACGAAAAGAAGUGGUGCAUUUUCCUAAGCCGUUACAUGACAGAAGUGAAUAAUCUGAAAUUGUGGUGGUAAAAAUAAAUCAAUAAAGCCCAGCUCUGCUUUCUGAAGUAAUCAGCUGUUACUCAGUGAUGGUCGUUCACACUCUACUCAUGCUCCUUUUUGGGCAGGAGGGUAUCAGAAUACAACUUUUUGUAUUUCUCCUUCUGAGGCUGUUACGUUUGAUGUUAAACUAUAAAGUCAUGAUGUGUGGUCAUGCAUUUGAAGCCCGACAGCUUUCUGCUCCUUCACCAAUUAAUAGCUACCUAUCUGCCCCAUACAGGAAAAUACCAGAAGGGUGACAGAAGAAUGUCUCUGCUCAGAACACCUUGUGCUGUCCUGUGGGGAUGGAUCCCCCAAGGCAAAGCCAGAAAGGGAUUGGAAGGUUGCAGUGUCCUGGGCGACUUAUUCUAACGUUGGGACUGCUGAAUAAGGAAGACAAUAAUGCCACCUACUGUCAAAUUACGUGCCCAUCCGUCUUCCUUUUGUUGCUACAACUAAACCACUUUUUCUAAAUUAUUAUUGCGUGGUAUUACAUGUUAAGAGUUUCCGGUUUCGUCAGGGCUGAGAAAGAACUCCUAGAUGUGGG